rnacentral:tRNA from 1 species
GCGGGUAUAGUAUAGUGGUAAUACACGACCUUCCCAAGGUUGAGCGACGGGUUCGAUUCCCGUUACCCGCU